rnacentral:misc_RNA from 1 species
GAAAAUUUUAUGUGCGCAUAGGCAUGAGCGCAGCUUCUGCACUGAAUCGUCUUCUUUCCAACAAGACCUUCAACUCCCAAACCCAACCCACAAGCGCCAAAGCCUUAACCAACACCAUCCUUGACCUCCUCAAAGCCAAUCAACUCCGCAAAGCCGUUUCCAUUCUCUUUGCAUCCCCUUACCCUGUCCCUUAUUCCUUGUACGCCCGACUAUUCCAGCUUUGCUCUUCAACUCUUGCAAUUGUGGAGGCUCGAAAGGUUGAAUCACAUUUGGUGACAUUCUCUCCGACCCCACCAAUCUUUCUCCUGAAUCGGGCCAUUGAGAUAUAUGGGAAAUGUAAGUGUUUGGAGGAUGCAAAGGAAUUGUUUGACGAAAUGCCUCAAAGAGAUGGUGGGUCUUGGAAUGCAAUCAUUAAAGCUUACACACAAUGUGGGAGCGCAAAGAAAGCUUUGGAUUUGUUUAAGGAUAUGAAUAAGGAAGGAGUUCUUGCAAAUGAGAUUACAUUUGCCAGCGUUUUGGGUUCGUGUGGUGAUGUUUUGGCGCUUUCUCUAUCAAGGCAAAUUCACGGGCUUAUCAUGAAAUAUGGGUUUUCUGGGAAUGUCGUUUUGGGAAGCGCGCUUGUCGAUGUGUACGGAAAGUGUAAGGCUAUAAGUGAAGCGAGGUUGAUGUUCGAUGAGAUUGAGAAUUCUAAUGAUGUUACUUGGAAUGUAAUAGUCAGGCGCUAUCUUGAGGCAGGCAAUGGCAGGGAGGCGGUUAUUAUGUUUUUUAAGAUGUUCCAAACAGAUGUUAGACCGCUAAAUUUUACCUUUUCUAACGCCCUUAUUGCAUGUUCAGCUAUGCAUGCGCUCAAGGAGGGGAUGCAGAUUCAUGGAGUUGCAAUUAAGAUUAACUAUGAGGAGAAUGAGACGGUUUCAAGUUCUCUUAGUAAUAUGUAUGCGAAGUGUGGGAAAAUAGAGAGUGCUCGGAUGGUUUUUGACCAACCUGGUGAAAAAGAUUUGAUAUCUUGGACUUCAAUAGUCUCAGCUUACGCAAUUAGUGGGAAAACAAGAGAGGCCAGGGAACUUUUUGAUGAGAUGCCUGAACGGAGUGUUAUCUCAUGGAACGCUAUGUUGGCGGGGUACACUCAUUCUCUCCAAUGGGAAGAGGCCUUAGAUUUUGUUUGUUUAAUGCGUAGGACAACUGAAGACAUUGACCACAUCACCCUAGGAUUACUUUUGAAUGUGUGUGCUGGUCUUUCAGAUGUUGAAAUGGGAAAACAGGUCCAUGGGUUCAUUUAUAGACAUGGUUUCAGUUCCAACAUCCUUGUUUGCAACGCCCUUCUUGACAUGUAUGGAAAAUGUGGGA